CCUCUCAGACAUUGAGACAGACACGUUUUCAUCAUGAAGUUAUUUUUAUUAGUAUUUUUUAUGGCGUUGGUAUCAGCCACAGUGUGGACGGCAAGUUUGCCAACAGUGAAACAAUUGAUAGACAAUAAUUCACACUCGAGGGUCAAAAGGCAAGCCUUUAUGAACCCGAGUUGUUUGUGCCCAAAAAAUCAUGUAUUCCUGAUACAGAAGUGCGUAACUUGUGAAGAAUAUAAAAAUUCAACAGACGCAGACGAGUGCCCAUAUUGUCAAAAAUAGACCUCUUCUCAAAAUGGACCCUGAAUUUUAUUUUAUUGAACUGGAGUCAAGUUAGUAGGAGAAUGAAGAAUCAUAAUCGCUGAAAUUAUAUCUAUUUUUAUAUAAAAAAUAAAGUUUCAUCAGGUUAAUUGUAAGAUUUUCCUCACAAAUUCUGUUUUUGCACACGGAAGAAGAAAAAAAAUAGAAAUAUUGUGUCGAAAUUAUUACCUUGAGUAGAGCUGUUAUUUUUACAAACAUAUGUAUACACACAAUACACAUUGCACCUUGCAUCACCACGGAAGAGGGUGUUGGUGAAGGAAUUCUGUGGCUGUCCUGAGCGCUAUUACCACCAAGAUGCACGUGUGUCAAAGGAAGCUAAACGGCGCUUUCACACUGGCCGAUUUUCCGCUCGAUAUUUAAAUGACAUUGUCGCUUAGUUAGUUGAAUAUUUGAAAAAUCGGCGAAUGUAAAAAAGCUGUAGAACCGAGCGACAGAUUUUUGCCCUUGGACUGUGCUGGGCUAGAAAUCCACCAGGGUGAAAGCACUGAAAACUACUCGACCCUUGAGUGAGGUCGGCUGGUGUACCUACGUGCCAAAGGUGCAUAGGAGUUAAUGUUAAUGAGAAACGCAUAUGCAUUUAUUGCAGCGGUGCUCGGGCCGUAUAUGAAUCAUAUAAUUUUAAAGUAAAUGAGGAAAAUUGUUAAUUAAUUCAUGAAAUAAAGUCGUAAACUUUACAAUUAA